AAGAACUUUCUAUUUUUCUGUUUGGCCUUCUUAACACAAGGCUUUCAAACUCAAUGUUCCUUCAUGGUCACAAGAUGGCUGCUAGGUCUCUAGCCAUCACAACCACCUUCCAGCCAGGACAAAGAGGAAGGUGAGAAGGGCAAAAAGCUAUGCUUUCCACCUGAGUCAGCCUCCUUUAGGAAAAGUUCCCAGACACUCACUUCUUCCACUUAUAUUUCACUGGCUGUCCCUAGCUACAAGGGAAAUAUUUUGUUGUCUCAAAUACAUUGAAUAUAUUGCCUUUACGUCAUCACUUUUGGUUGCUCUACAGUAUACAUUACUUACUUUCUGGUUCUCAAUUAUAUUCUAGUUAGGUGGAAUAUGACUCAAUAUUUAAAAUAAAUAUAAGUGUUUUGAUUUUCAUGGCCCUUGGCUACUGUCAAAGAUAAAUCAAUAGCUAUACAAUGGAUAAAACAUUAAGCAUCAAAAUCCUAUCCAGGGAGCACUGUGGAAGUGGCAAAACUAACUCCCACAAUUGCAGUUAAUUCAGUUCCAUGUUUACUGAACAGCUUUAGUGCCGGCUAGACGCAGUCGCCUGUGGUGGGCAGUGGGGACAAUCGGGACGGCCCUGUCCUUGAGGAGGUCCAGCUUCCGUGACUCACAGGUGCCUGGAGGCAGGGGGAAGUCACUAGACGGUUUUACGGAGAGGACAGAUGGCAUCUCUGAAGCAUAGCUUGGACUGCGGAAGGCCAGCGGGGGGCACGGCGGCUUGAGGCGGGCGGUUUUGUUCUAGAGCCCAACCACUGCCCUGCGUGGCUUGUUCUCUGCUGUCCGAUGACCACACCUCACCUUCUGCACCGUGCGCCUGACCUACCCCCAAAUCCUCAGGAUCUCCCACCUUCAGAUUUUCCUUACCUCGCACUUGCAGUUUGAUGCCUACCCACUAGAAGUCCUGGGCGAGCGGUGGUGACUUUCUGGGCUCCAGAGUCUGUGCCAUCUUCAUUCAUUCGUCCUCCACGCAUUUCCUGAGCUCCUCCUGCUCCGGGCUGGGGUUCCACAGGUGAAUCAGACUCGACUCUUACCCUCAACACAGGGACAAGGCCUGCCAGCCUCAGGACUGAAACUCAC
rnacentral:lncRNA from 1 species